rnacentral:rRNA from 1 species
UGGGGAAUAUUGGACAAUGGGCGCAAGCCUGAUCCAGCCAUACCGCGUGGGUGAAGAAGGCCUUCGGGUUGUAAAGCCCUUUUGUUGGGAAAGAAAUCCUGUCGAUUAAUACUCGGUGGGGAUGACGGUACCCAAAGAAUAAGCACCGGCUAACUUCGUGCCAGCAGCCGCGGUAAUACGAAGGGUGCAAGCGUUACUCGGAAUUACUGGGCGUAAAGCGUGCGUAGGUGGUGGUUUAAGUCUGCUGUGAAAGCCCUGGGCUCAACCUGGGAAUUGCAGUGGAUACUGGGUCACUAGAGUGUGGUAGAGGGAUGCGGAAUUUCUGGUGUAGCAGUGAAAUGCGUAGAGAUCAGAAGGAACAUCCGUGGUGAAGGCGGCAUCCUGGGCCAACACUGACACUGAGGCACGAAAGCGUGGGGAGCAAACAGG